GACGAACGCUGGCGGCGUGCCUAAUACAUGCAAGUAGAACGCUGAAGCUUGGUGCUUGCACCGAGCGGAUGAGUAGCGAACGGGUGAGUAACGCGUAGGUAAUCUGCCUGGUAGCGGGGGAUAACUAUUGGAAACGAUAGCUAAUACCGCAUAAGAGUAGAUGUUGCAUGAUUUAUGCUUAAAAGGUGCAAUUGCAUCACUACAAGAUGGACCUGCGUUGUAUUAGCUAGUUGGUGAGGUAACGGCUCACCAAGGCAACGAUACAUAGCCGACCUGAGAGGGUGAUCGGCCACACUGGGACUGAGACACGGCCCAGACUCCUACGGGAGGCAGCAGUAGGGAAUCUUCGGCAAUGGACGGAAGUCUGACCGAGCAACGCCGCGUGAGUGAAGAAGGUUGUCGGAUCGUAAAGCUCUGUUGUUAGAGAAGAACGUUUGUGAGAGUGGAAAGUUCACACUGUGACGGUAUCUUACCAGAAAGGGACGGCUAACUACGUG
rnacentral:rRNA from 1 species